CUCUCUCUCUCUCUCUCUCUCUCUCUCUCUCUCUCUCGCUCUCUCGAUAUAUGUAUAUAUAUGUGAGAUUAAUCUCUUCAUUUCAAUGUUUAUCUUUCUCAUCUCCAGAGGUAUUCCGCCACCCCGCUCCCGUAAAGACGAUAUGGCUUCAAUGAAGUGGGAGUCAGUUGGUGGCGGCUAUAAUGAUUAUAGGCCGUCGUAGCAUCUACUUUCCCACCCCUCGAUAUUUUCUUCGGUUAAGAGGCAAUACGUACUUGCAACUAUUUCGAGGAAUUACCAACUAAUUUUUGGCAGAUAGUCAGUUGCCCGCUGUUCUCCUGCUCAUCAACUGUUCCUCCUAGCCCAUCUCUCUCUCUCUCUCUCACCCUCCUCCCGCACCGGCCCUCUUGAUCUCUCGCUCGUUCUCUCUCCUAAUCUCCCUCCUUUCCUCUGGAUCAGCCAGGCUUUCCUUUCGAAUUUUGAGCCUGCAAGCCCUGGAUGAUCCAAAGGAGGCCCGAUAGAAAGCCUGGAGUCAAAUAGGAGCUUGAAAAGCAUACCGCGCACCCUUUUCAUUCUCACGUUAUCUCAAGAGUAUACCAUCAUUGAGGUGCGGUGAAGUUUAUUUCAUGUUUGUUCGAUUAUUCUUGGCGUCAUGCGUAGUGAAACAUUGUGUAUCGAUACUAUCCAAUAUACGUUAUCGUUGCUCAAAGAAUGAGUCGGUAAGUGAAUAUGUGAGCAAAUAAUGCAUGUUCACAUUCAUUCUUCGAAGGUUUCCGAUCCAAACCCAAGAUUAAUUGACCAUAUUAAAUAAUUUAUCAUUAUACUCUGGUUUAAAUGUCGAAAUUGUUUGAAGAGAAUUGUCGUUCAAACUGCACAUUCACAAAAUCGAAUAAGUUCUGAUGUAUGUUGUUCGUUAAUUGUUAUGAUGUUAAAUGAGCAAAGCAUAAUUGAUGCGUGCUCACUAUCGGUCCACUAAUGUUUACAAUUGAAAGUUAUGACGAUAUACUUUAAUCUUGUGAUCUUAUGUCAUAUCUUUGGGUCACGUCCAUGAAGGUGAGUAUUAAUAAAUAAAUAAAAUUCGGUUAAUAUUGGCUAAUAUUUGAAGUUCACCCACCGACUCCGUGAAUUAUAGUUAAAGCUUUUUCAGGUAUGAAAAGAAUCUGAUUAAUUUCAUGGGGGGUACGCCAAUCGAGAAUAGAAAAAGGAACUAUAAGAUGGGCAAGAAUAUAUUUGUGAAGUCAUUAUUCUGUUAAGAUCGUCAUUGUGAGUUCGAACUUUAUAAGACAUCGGACUCGUCACAGUAGAUACAUGGAAACUUUUAUAACUGGUGGCGUUUAACUCGUCAGGAUUUUAGAGAUCAUAUGUCCUGAGUAGUUCCGUCUGGGAUCAAUUAGCCUUCUCAGUGAGCAAGUCACCUCAGUUCACAAUGACAAAUACACACAGUUAAUACAUAUACGGAUCUGCACGUCAUGAACGCAGGAAUAUGUGAACCGUGCAAACAUAAGUGUGUUAGAAUACGUCGACAGAUCUAUGGUGGCAGUGUAUGAGAUGAAUCGGCGAAACCUGAUGAUGUACAGGAAACACCGAAAAUAGAAACCAGUGAAUUAUUUAGCAACACAAUCGACUCACAAGGUACACGUAAGAGGCGGGGGUGGGCAUCUCUAACAAACAUCUCGACGAUAGUCAGAUGUUCAAGGUUUCAUAUGACCUGUAAGGCCCAAAGAACGGGCGUAGGAUCGAGUAAGUUGUCUCUUAAGUGCCAGUCUUCACAGGUCUUGUGGGCAUCAGGAAGUCCAAGAGGAGUAAUGAAGCAUAUUUUUCCAAUUGGCCCUUUAUUUGACUGCGUUUGAAGUAUCGUCCUGCUUGACAUUCUUGUAAGAGUGGGAAACGCGAAUGCCCUCGUUUCUUUGUUCAUCUCAGCGAUCGUCCUCAAUCUCAGCAGGAAAGUAUUUGUUUGACAUCACUGACCACACGAGAAACGUUUGUCAGCUAUUUAUUCAAAUAAUAAUUGGUUUAGUUGGAUCUUUUAUUGUGCUUUGUUCUGAGUUGUGUUUUCGCAGCUCAGAUUACUUCUCCUCUCUCUCUCUCUCUCUCGCUCUCAGUACAAAACAAAUUUCUUUUGAGCUCCCAUGCUAAAACCUCCUCUCUUGUGGACCACUGACCACAGUUGAACUCAAUUAAUGUAUCAUGACCAUAUCAUGCAGACGAGCAUACCAUUGAAGGACAAAACCAAGCUCAUCAUGGUCCAUCCGGGGACCAACACAAUCGUUAGUUCAUCCUUAGCUCAUUCAUAGUUCCAUAGCCAUCGUUGAUUCGGCCAAGUGAUGGGAUCGGUGGUUCGGAAUGCAAUUCAACGGCCCUAGCUUCUAUCCCGUUUGCAGAUUCUUACUACACACCGAAAUCAGAGGGACGAAGAAGGCGAGAGACUUCUGGAGUGAUUUUUGCCUUAACAUAGGAAACGAUGGCGACAUCCGAACGCACGUAAGGUACCCACAUCAAACAUAGGUCCGGCAAGGACCACAACAAAUAAGAAUAAGGACAACACGACCAGCACACUCGUGAACAAAAGCACGUGAAGAGUGAAGCCCACAAGCGGCAGGCUACACCAGCGGCCAUGCACGUACAUCAGUGACGUCCGCCAAUGCCUCCACCGCCACCGAAGCCGCCGCCGCCGCCGCCGCCCCCGCCACCGCCUCCCCUGAAGCCGCCGCCUAGUCCGCCUCCGGCACCACCGCCGAAACCGCCUCCAAAGCCGCUGCCUGCACCGCCGCCGAUGCCUCCUCCGUUACCAUAUCCGCCUCCAAGUCCCCCACCCUUACCGUAACCUCCGCCAACACCGCCGCCGAGUCCACCACCCUUACCGAACCCGCCGCCUAGGCCACCGCCGGUGCCGUAUCCACCACCGAGCCCAUGUCCGCCGCCGAAAACCACCCCCGAUUCCACCGCCCUUGCCGAAACCACCGCCGAUUCNNNNN
rnacentral:lncRNA from 1 species